rnacentral:rRNA from 1 species
GCUCAGAUUGAACGCUGGCGGCAGGCUUAACACAUGCAAGUCGAGCGGGGGAAGGUAGCUUGCUACCGGACCUAGCGGCGGACGGGUGAGUAAUGCUUAGGAAUCUGCCUAUUAGUGGGGGACAACAUCUCGAAAGGGAUGCUAAUACCGCAUACGUCCUACGGGAGAAAGCAGGGGAUCUUCGGACCUUGCGCUAAUAGAUGAGCCUAAGUCGGAUUAGCUAGUUGGUGGGGUAAAGGCCUACCAAGGCGACGAUCUGUAGCGGGUCUGAGAGGAUGAUCCGCCACACUGGGACUGAGACACGGCCCAGACUCCUACGGGAGGCAGCAGUGGGGAAUAUUGGACAAUGGGGGGAACCCUGAUCCAGCCAUGCCGCGUGUGUGAAGAAGGCCUUAUGGUUGUAAAGCACUUUAAGCGAGGAGGAGGCUACUUUAGUUAAUACCUAGAGAUAGUGGACGUUACUCGCAGAAUAAGCACCGGCUAACUCUGUGCCAGCAGCCGCGGUAAUACAGAGGGUGCGAGCGUUAAUCGGAUUUACUGGGCGUAAAGCGUGCGUAGGCGGCUUAUUAAGUCGGAUGUGAAAUCCCCGAGCUUAACUUGGGAAUUGCAUUCGAUACUGGUGAGCUAGAGUAUGGGAGAGGAUGGUAGAAUUCCAGGUGUAGCGGUGAAAUGCGUAGAGAUCUGGAGGAAUACCGAUGGCGAAGGCAGCCAUCUGGCCUAAUACUGACGCUGAGGUACGAAAGCAUGGGGAGCAAACAGGAUUAGAUACCCUGGUAGUCCAAUGCCGUAAACGAAUGUCUACUAGCCGUUGGGGCCUUUGAGGCUUUAAGUGGCGCUAAGCUAACGCGAAUAAAGGAAGACCGCAUGGUAAAUUCGUG